rnacentral:lncRNA from 1 species
UUGGUUUUCAUGAGGCAUUUAUUUACAGCGGUACUUGUCACGUAGCAAGCGCUAUGAAAGUGUGAGCAUCUUUUAUUAUCAUCGGCAAAGCUUUUUCAUUGGUUUAUUUGACAAGCUCCUGGAAACAAAACAAACAAACACUUUUGUCUCUCUCUCGGGAAGUCUCUUAGGAAGCUCUUUAGAGCCAUGUCUGACUUCCACCAGAUUUGUCAUUUAUCUCAACCAUCUCUGGUGGCCUGGUUUGGACUCCUCCCCUACUUUCUCCCACGCAGGCAGCAGGAGGAUUCUCCUAUCUUGGGAAAUCUUGCUGAUCUCUCAUUUUGGUACCCAUUUCCGCCUCGGAAGUGUGAGCUCUUUCAAGGCCCUGCCUUUGUACAUUCAGAAUAAAAAUAGAUGAUGCUGUUCUCUCCCAGUUCGGCUUCGGAAUCCUACUUGGUCCUGCUGUCUUUUCCUCCCAGCUCCCUGACUUCCCUUUGGGCACUUCUCAGUGAUGGACCCCUUGGGCUGAGAAACUGGUAUUCUCUGGAGGCCUGUGGAGUUUCCUGGAGAGGCAAGGGCUGGGAAGACAGAGGCUUUCCAGUGCCUGAUGCACACAAGGCUGAUGCAGAGAGUCCUAAAGCCAAGUCUCACUCAAAGAGGCCAAGUGCUUGCCUCCUUAGGAUGGGUGGCUGAGUUUAUUACCCAGGGAAAAGGGAUCGUAGUCCCAGACAUAGGUUUAUGCUGAUAUCCAGGGUUUCCUCAUAGCCUGGCUCAGCUACCAGAGCAGUGGAAACAGGCUCACUACAAAGCAGCCCGGGACCAUAAGUUCAAAUUUUCUCCAGGCCUGGAGAUGCUUCUAAUUAUAUGAGCCCAGGUAAAUCACACUCUCCUCUGAUGUCAGGUUCUCAUUAUAAAGGAGUCGAACUAGCUUAUCAACUUUCAGACUUUCCCUCCUGUUGAGUAGUAAGCCAGAUCAAUGUGUUCUGCUGCUAAAAUCAAAGGUCUUUCUCUAGGGUUUUUUUUUUUUUUUUGUAUGUGUGUGUGUGUGCAGUAACAAUAAUCAUUAAUAUACAGUAUUUUCACACACACACACACUGCUCUGAAUCAGGUGCCACCACCCUCAGUGUUAGAACACAGUACAGGUGGGGUCUAAUUCUGAGAACACCUCUGAUGGAAUGACUUUAAAAUAAAGCCUUCUGCAUGCCGUAAUGCAAUAUGGGAAAGCCAUUCUCAGAUGUUUUCCGCUUGAAUUCUGGGAAACAUAGGGCCAGGUGGACACUAAGGGUUCUUCUGAUGUUAAAUGUGAUUGAUCUCAGGAUUUUCAGGGAAUCUGGGGCUCGUGGGGCCAUGCUCCGUCUGACCUUAGCCCUCUAUUGGUGCUUCCAGUGUGGCUGCAUUCCCUAGGUCAAACAUUCACUGGAAGGUCCUUCUGUGAGUCCCCCUUAUGAAGAGAACCUCCUCUGCAUGGGUCCCCCCACACCCCCACAACGCAUGAUCAGCAAGAAGUAUAUUUGGGGUGAAUGAGACCAGGGUUCCAAAGUCCUGGACUGGGCUACUACAGAGGAAGAAAUGGAGUUUGAAGAUACGUCCCUAGCCCAUCACCUGACCGUUUCGUAGGUCUACAUUGACUUUUGGGUGGUAGAGUGAAGAGUCAGGAGGAACUGGACCAAUAUCACUGUACCACAAGUUCUAACCUGCCCCCUCUACCUUUUCCCUGAGGUGGGAGAGCUCAUGUCUGGCUUUACACCUGAAAAGCAGACUUGGAGGUCCAUCUGGGCCACUGUUGGUUUUCUGCCAUCCCAUUCCACUGGGUGGAAAGGGUAGCUUUUAUUGGUAAGUGGGGUGGAGAUGUGACACUGUUGCUCCAAGUGGGGGUGAUGGAGAAGCUGAGAUAACUUCUGGGAUACUCUUGGUGAUCAAAUUGUAAGGCCUGGGUGGCUCAAGGACCUGCUUUCCUGGGUAGGUGGUAAGGCACUGGCAGGGGAAGGGAUGAAGACAGGGCUAGGGACGUUCUGAAAGUUGGGGUCAACUUGGUCCUGACACAUCUAAUAGCUAUAGAGGAGAGGAGGGGUCCCAGUAGCUCCAGGCUUCAGACACCUCAGCUUGGUGACAAAGAUAGAUGGACCUCCAUUUGUUGUCCUGCUGGGAGGCUGGCUUUGCCUGCUCCUCAUUGCUUGGGCUCUGUAUUCCAUUCCCUGGGGACUUUCCAAUGGUGGUUUCUAGGUCCCUGGUUCUAGGGAUGGGGGAAGAAGUCCACUUUACCAGAGGUACUGGACUUGGGGACUUACCAUAACAAAACCUCAAAGGUGGGAACUGCAGGGCUAGGGAGGGCUCCUUGGUUAGUGUGGUAGAGUAUUUGGUCAUCUUGGCAGUGAAUGAGUCCAUGAGUAUACCAGCAGAGGAAGGAGGCCCCACAGUGACUGACUCCCCUGGGUCAGAAUAAUACAGACAGGUGGCAGGAGGAGACGGGACACACUAGGGAUGAUGGGUAGGUUGUGUACCCUUUGUAGGCAGGGGCAGGAGUUCUCACCAGGCAGGUAGGUUUGGAAUCGGGGUAGGUACAGGAAAGGGAGAUCAGGUGUGAGGCUGGGCAGGAGAAAGGAUGAGCCAGACAGACACGGGCCACGGCAGAGGAGGAGCUGAACUCCAGGAGGGGCAGGAGGCACUGCUGGGCUGCAACCAGCCCAGGGCCUGGGCACAGGGCCCCAGAGGAGCGGCCCUACCCAGGCACCACUGCAGGCCACCCUGGUCAGGAGAUCUCAUUGCCGAACACCUCUAGCACAAGGGGUGUGAGCUUCAUGCUGUUCUCCGGCUGGAAGGAGAGGGAACGGUACUGUUUGGAGUGCUCCUCAUUGAGGCUUCGCAGGUCAGCCAGCUUCUGGAUCAUCUUGGCGUAGAGCUGGUGGCUGCCCGGGGGCGGGUGGCGGCAGCGGAUGUAGGUCUGCAGUGUGUUGGAUAGGCGGUCCUGAAUGGCUUCAACCAGCUUAGCAUCCUGUACCCCAGGUCGGUCUGUG